rnacentral:rRNA from 1 species
GACGACGCUGGCGGCGUGCCUAACACAUGCAAGUCGAGCGGAGUCGAUCGACGGAAGCCUUCGGGCGGAAGAUGGUUGACUUAGCGGCGGAUGGGUGAGUAACGCGUGGGCAACCUGCCUCGAAGACCGGGAUAACAGCCCGAAAGGGCUGCUAAUACCGGAUGUGGUCAAGGAUCCGCAUGGAUUUUUGAUUAAAGGGGAAACCCGUUUCGAGAUGGGCCCGCGUCCUAUCAGCUAGUUGGUGAGGUAAAAGCUCACCAAGGCGACGACGGGUAGCCGGCCUGAGAGGGUGACCGGCCACACUGGAACUGAGACACGGUCCAGACUCCUACGGGGGGCAGCAGUGGGGAAUCUUCCACAAUGGGCGAAAGCCUGAUGGAGCGACGCCGCGUGAGCGAAGAAGGCCUUCGGGUUGUAAAGCUCUGUCUGGAGGGACGAAGGAAGUGACGGUACCUCCGGAGGAAGCCACGGCUAACUACGUG